rnacentral:rRNA from 1 species
AUUGAACGCUGGCGGCAGGCCUAACACAUGCAAGUCGAGCGAGCGGCGGACGGGUGAGUAAUGUAUGGGGACUGCCCGAUAGAGGGGGAGAACUACUGGAAACGGUAGCGAAUACAGCAUACAAUCGGAUAACACAUAUGGGAUUCGCCAGUAGGAGAGGUAAGGGCUCACCUAGGCGACGCACCCUAUGUGGUCUGAGAGGAUGAACAGCCACACUUGGACUGAGCCCCGGACCAGGCGCCUACGGAGGCAGCCGUUGGGACUAUUGCACAAUGGGCGCAAGCCUGAUGCAGCCAUGCCGCGUGUAUGAAGAAGGCCCUAGGGUUGUAAAGUACUUUCAGUCGGUAGGCGUUACCGACAGAAGAAGCACCGGCUAUCUCCGUGCCAGCAGCCGCGGUAAUUC